rnacentral:rRNA from 1 species
GACAGAGGGGCAAGCGUUGCUCGGAAUCACUGGGCGUAAAGGGCGCGUAGGCGGGAUGGCAAGUCAGUCGUGAAAUCUCUCGGCUCAACCGAGAAACGUCGGCUGAUACUGCCGUUCUUGAGGGAUGCAGAGGAGACUGGAAUUCCCGGUGUAGCGGUGAAAUGUGUAGAGAUCGGGAGGAACACCGGUGGCGAAGGCGGGUCUCUGGGCAUCUCCUGACGCUGAGGCGCGAAAGCGUGGGGAGCAAACGGG